ACUGUGUGUGUGUGCAGGUUUCCCUCCUCCCAGCGGCCCCCCUCCCUCUCUCAUCCCCACCUUGGACAGCAGUGGGCAUCCAGGUGGAUAUGAUGUUCGUCCCGUUCCACCAUACCCCUUCCCCACAGGUGGUUUCCCUCCCCCUAUGACAGGUGGCUACCCUCCUCCUAUGCCAGGUGUGGUGUCUCCAUGGCCUCCUAUGAUGGACCAGUCUAAACAGUGGGACUACUACCCUCCAGGACCGGGACCAGGACCAGGACCAGGACCCAGACGGGAGGACAAGAGGGAGAAGGAGAGAGAGAGACCCAGGGAGAGACCACAUGAGAGGGAGAGAGAGCGAGAGCACAGCCCCUCCACUAUGGGUUACAACAGGUUAG